UACUCUGGCCAUGGAGGAGGCCCAGGACAGAAAGUUCGGAUUCAGAAUGGGAGAUGGAGUUGAAGUGCUGGGCCACCAGGAGAUCAGGUUGGUUAUUGUGAACCGAGCGGAGGUGUUCGGCGAAGCGAUCGCCAAGCCUACGCUUGGUCUCACCAAUGUAGAGCAGCUGACACCUAGAGCAGCCGAUGUAAUAGAUGAGGUUGGAGGAGGUGCAGGUGAACCUCUGCCGCACCUGAAAUGACUGCUUGGGUCCUUGAAUGGAGUCAAGGGGGGAGGUAAAGCGACAAGUGUAACAUUUCCUGCGUUUGCAAGGGAAAGUGACCUGAGAGGGGGUGGUACAGGUGGGAAGGGACAAAUUGACCAGGGAGUUACGGAGGGAGCAGUCUCUGCGGAAAGCAGACAGGGGAGGAGAUGGGAAGAUGUGGCAAGUGGUGGGAUCACGUUGGAGGUAGCGAAAAUGGUGGAGGAUUUUUUGUUGUACAUGACGGCUGGUGGGGUGGAAGGUGAGGACUAGGGGGACUCUGCCCUUGUUACGAGUGGGGGGAUGGGGAGUGAGAGCAGAGUCACGGGGUAUUGAAGAGACCCUGGUCAGAGCCUCAUCUAUAGUAGAAGAGGGGAACCCUCAAUCCCGGAAGAAUGAGGACAUCUUCGAAGCCCUGGUGUGGAACACCUCAUCCUGGGUGAGGAUGAGGAAUUGGGAGUAGGUGAUGGAGUCCUUACAGGAAGCAGGGUGGGAAGAAGUUAGUCCAGAUAGCCAUGGGAGUCAGUGGGUUUACUAUGGAUGUCGGUCAGUACUCUAUCACCUGUGAUGGAGAUAGUGAGGUCUAGAAAUGGUAGGGAAAUGUCGGAAAUGGUCCAGGUGAUUUUGAGUGCUGGAUGGAAGUUAGUGGUGAAAUGGAUGACGCCGGUGAAUUCUGUAUGGGUGCAGGAGGUAGCACCAAUGCAGUCGUCAAUGUAUCGGAGGUAGAGUUUGGGGAUAGGAUGGAGAAUUGUUCGACAUGCCAUUUUCACACAGAGAGUGGUGAAUCUCUGGAACUCUCUGCCACAGAGGGUAGUUGAGGCCAGUUCAUUGGCUAUAUUUAAGAGGGAGUUAGAUGUGGCCCUUGUGGCUAAGGGGAUCAGGGGGUAUGGAGAGAAGGCAGGUACGGGAUACUGAGUUGGAUGAUCAGCCAUGAUCAUAUUGAAUGGCGGUGCAGGCUCGAAGGGCCGAAUGGCCUACUCCUGCACCUAAUUUCUAUGUUUCUAUGACAUACCCUACAAAGAGGCAGGCAUAGUUCGGGACCAUGCGUGAUCACAUAGCUUUGCCUUGUCUUUGGAGGAAAUGGGAGCAGUCAAACAAAAAGUUAUUAAGGGUAAGGACCAACUCCGCUAGGCAGAGGAGAGUAUCUGUAGAUGGGGAUUGAUUAGUUCUGCGGUCAAAGAAGAAACGGAGGGCUUUGAGAGACUCUUGGUGGGGGAUGGAGGUGUAGAGUGACUGGACGUCCAUGGUGAAGAUGAGGGAAAGGGGGCCAAGAAAAUGGAAGUCCUGGAGUUGAUGAAGAGCAUGUGAGAUGUCUUGAACGUAGGUAGGGAGGGAUUUAACUAGGGUGGAUAGGAUGGAGUCGAGGUAUGUGGAAAUAGGAAACAGGCAGAAACAAUGGGUCUACCAGGACAGUCAGGUUUGUGGAUUUUGAGGAGAAGGUAAAAUCGGGAUGUGCGGGGCUGGGGAACGAAGAGGUUGGAGGCUUGGGAGGGCAGGGAGCCAUAGUGGAUGAAGUGCUAGAGAUAGUGGCCUGGUGCUCGUCUGUGGGGUCAUGGUCCAAGGAUAAGUAGGAGGAGGUGUCUGAGAGUUGGUGUGUGGCCUCCGCCUUGUAGAGAUCAGCGUGCCAGACAACCAUGGUACCUCCCUUGUUGGCGGGUUUGAUCACCCAGAGUGAGUGGAUGUAAAUUCAGGUGGGGAGAGGUUAGAGUGAGACGGGAGUGGAGAAGCUGAGGUGGUUGAUGUCCCGCCGGCAGUUUAAAGUCGGAAGAUGGCCAUGAGGGGGAGUCCAAGAGGAGGGGGUCCAUUGGAGACGGGAGAAGGGGUCAUCUUUGUGGGGCGAUAUAGUUUAGUUUAGUUUAGAGAUACAACGUGGAAGCAGGCCCUCCCAUCCACCAAGUCCACGCCGACCAGCGAUCUCCGCACAUUAACACUAUCCUACACACAUUUGGGGAAAUUUACAAGUUUAUCAAGCCAACACACCUGCAUGUAUUUGGAGUGUGGGAGGAAACCGGAGACGCAGAGAAAACCCGCAAAGUUCACGGGAGAACGUACAAACUCCAUACUCACCGCACCCAGGAUCAAACCUAGGUCUCUGAUGCUGUAAGGCAGCAACUCUACCGCUGCGCCACCGUGCCACCAAAGUGAUUCCCAGAAAUCUUUACUGAGGGUACAUUGCAGACAUUAACCUCAGAUUGAUCUCUGUUUUGCACCUAUUGUCUAUUGUCUAUUGUAUAUUGUCACUAGGACAAACUAAAUGGCAAUCAAUUGAGAUUUGGACUACCAAAGUGGUGAAGUACAGCACCAGUUAUAUAAUACCUUGUUCAAAGCUAAGCUUGAAUCUAAACCCAUUUGCUGGGUUAUAAUUCAGAAUGCCCCCUUGACUUCUGGGCACUAGGAAAAAUGUACCUUUUUCUGUGUACGUUCAAAAACAUGAAAUUUUCCAAAGGUUGUUAUUGGUGUAGUCAUCUUCAAGUGUAAUUACUGUAUGGUAUGACCAUGGAUAAAUUCACUUGAAAAAUGAAUCAGGUUUAUGUUAUAAGGAUAGAAGGUUUCAUGAAAAGUGGCUAUUUCUCUUGGGGGGGGGGGGGAUUACCUUCCGACAGAAGAGGCUGAAUUGUCCAAGCCAUUUGAUAUGUUCCCAUGGAAGGCUUAUAUAUCGGUUGUGACAAAAUCAUUCAACAAAGCAUAUUUACUUUGUUUACCGAGUCCGCGCCGAUCAGCGGUCUCUAUACCCUUUUUCUAACCAACACACUAGGGACAAUUUAAAGAAGCCCAUUGACUAGUAAACCAGCAAAUCUUUGAAAAGUGGGAGGAAACCGGGGCAACCUGGAGAAAACACACGUGGUCACAGGAAAAACUUACAAAGGCUAUACAGACACCGCCAUUAGUCAUGAUUGAACCCAGGUCUCUGGCACAGUAAGGCAGCAACUCUACCACUGCACCACUGUGCCAUCCUAAAGGAAUCCAGGAAAGCUUUGUUAGUGAGUGCCAUUAAGAUAUUUCACCAUGGAAUAAAUCUUGUUCUGACUUGAUAACUAUAGUAUACCAGAUUCUAGCUGUUGCUAGUUCUGAGGAAGUAGGUCUUUCUCAGGGCAAGAAUGUCAUUUUUCUGUUACUAUGAAAAAGCUAUCGGAAUGAUUCACUGAUUUUUCCUGCCCAACAUAAGUGACUGAGUGCCAGCCCAGCUUCGAGAUAAUUUGGACUUUGUUGAUGUGUGUCGCUCACAUCUACAAUAAUUAAACUACAUUGGAGAGGGGAGCUCGAGUAAUAUUGGGCCAGAACUGCAUUGUUGAACGAAAAUGGAUACUGUUAAAAUCCCAGCCAGUGUUUGUGUUGGAAAAAAAAUUAACUGGGCCUGAAAACAGUUUAUGUAUUGCCCAUUUCGCCUUGUGUUCCAGGGCAAAUUCCUCAGCACCUGAGACAAGAAGGUACAAGCUUGGAUAUGGUCAAUGUUUAGUUUUUUUUCCAGAAUAACAGAGUGAAUAUCUCUGUGAAUUAAGUGUGAGCAAAAUGAAUACGAUGCUUUGAAGUGUAAUUCAUGGAUUUCCAUUAAUUAAAAAUUAAUAUGAAGCUCAAAUCAACAAAAGUGAUAAGUUUGAAUUCAGGUGGAAAGCACAUGAGCGUUUUCUUGGCAGUCGCUAGUCCUGCCCACUUUGGAUCGAAUUGAAAAUUAACCUGUUCCUUCAUAAUAAAGCAGUAAAAUUUUACAAGUUCUUCGCUCCUUAUUGUCCAACAUCAUUGAUGAUAUAUUCUGGAAUUUAGAAGGAUGAGAGGGGUUCUUAUUGAAACAUAUAAGAUUAUUAAGGGUUUGGACAGGCUAGAGGCAGGAAACAUGUUCCCGAUGUUGGGGGUGUCCAGUACCAGGGGCCACAGUUUAAGAAUAAGGGGUGGCCAUUUAGAAUGGACUUGAAGAAAAACGUUUUCAUCCAGACAGUUGCAAAUCUGCGGAAUUCUCUGCCUCAGAAGGCAAUGGAGGCCAAUUCACUGGAUGCUUUCAAGAGAGUGUUAGAUACAGCUUUUGAAGAUAGCGGAGUCAGGGGAUAUGGAGGGAAGACGGGUACUGAUUGUGGAUGAUCAGCCAUGAUCCCAGUGAAUGGUGGGGCUAGCUCGAAGGGCUGAAUGGCCUAAUCUUACACCUAUUGUCUAUCUGAAGAGACAUUUACCGAGGUCAGUGCACAGGAAAAGUGUUGGAAAUGAAAGCAUGAAUGAAAAGCUGUAAAGUGAUUUACAAUAUUAACCGCCUCCAAAUGACCUUGUGUGUUUGGAUGCAUGUCAAUGACUAUUUUCCAUUUGCUGUUGAGAUCAUGCUCACUCUUGACAAAUAAGAGCAUUGAUAAAGACAAAAGAAAAGAAUGGAAUGAAAACAAAAUAGUGAACAAAGACGGGUUGUAAAGAAAGCAAUGAACUUUUAAACUAACUUUUUGUUAAUUUUAUUUCAUCCUCAGGCACAACAAUACCUGUGUACCUCAACAGCACUUCUAAUAAUUUGUACCUAAACUUUCAGUCAGACAUCAGUAUUUCAGCUGCUGGCUUUCAACUGGAAUAUACAGCAGUUGGAUUGGAUUCCUGCCCUGAGCCACUUACUCCCAGCAAUGGAAUCAAGAAUGGGAACAGAUAUUUGGUUGGAGAUGUUAUAUCAUUUCACUGUGAACAAGGAUACUCACUGCAGGGGCAUUCCCAUAUAACAUGCAUGCCGGGACCAGUCCGAAGAUGGAAUUACCCUAUCCCCAUGUGUGUAGGUAUGUGUGUUUACAAUUUGUGAAACUGUAUUCCUGACCUCCCCACCUCUCUCAUGAACCAAUACCUUUUUCAGUUUGACAUUGAUUGUGCUUGAUCUUAGUUGAAGAGAAAAUUGAUUUAUUUCCUAUCCCGGUCAUAAUGCUCUUUGAGAUGAAGUGGGAGAGGUGCGAUAAACAAGAGGCUUAAAAAUCGAUAUGAUAAUUCUUAAAAAGAAAGCAGAAUGGCUUCCUUGCAAACAGGCCUUCGGUCAUGUGUUAACGUUUCCUGUUCAAAAUGUUGGACUCGCAUUCUGAAGCAGCACGUUCUUCCUUAUCAAAUGCACAACAAGUUCUCCUGCAGUGUAUCUUUGCAUGUAUUGUCCUGUUUGCAAAGCAUUUAAAAAAAUGGAACACGUAGCCACAAAGUUAACAGAGGCCAUUGUCUAUGCUGGUGUUAAUGAAUGAGUUUAUUGGCCAAGAAUUCACAAUACUUUGUCUUGGUGCUCCGCGCGCAAGUGACAACAUAACAUACAGUGACAUUCAUUCCUCAUCCCAUUCUUUUUUCACUUAGCCCUAUCGAAUGGGUGACAGUUGCGAUGUUGUUCAUGUCAUGUGAUUCGGCGGCCAUUCGGCCCAUCGAGCCUACUCCGUCAUUCAAUCAUGGCUGAUCUAUCUCUCCCUCCUAACCCCAUUCUUCUGACUUUUCCCCAUAACCUCUGACACCCAUACUAAUCAAGAAUCUACCUUAAAAUUAUCAAUUGACUUGGCGUCCACAGCCCUCUGAGGCAAAGAAUUCCACAGAUUCGCCACCCUCUGACUUGUUGUUCAAAUAGGUGGUGAUUGUGUUCACUGGUUCACUGUGUUGGACAUGACCAAUUUCAAGGUCCUAAAGAUAAAUGGUGUAGCCUAAUAGAGUAAUGUUAAUUUGAUUUAUUUCACUUGGCAGGGUCAGUGAUUUACGUCUGGCAUCAUUAUUGGAUUACACAAUCUUUCUGUUGUGUAAGAUGGGAAGAUUUACAGAUGUGUAGGAAGAAACUGCAGAUGUUGGUUUAAACCAAAGAACCAAAGAUAGAUGCAAAAACGCUGGAGUAACUCAGCGGGACAGACAGCAUCUCUGGAGAGAAGGAAUAGGGGACGUUCCGGGUCGAGACUCUUCUUCUGCAGAAGACACAGGCGGAAGCGAGUGGAGAAAUGGGGAGAAACUCCUUCAGUUUUCUUUGGUGCCUUUGAAAUUCCAGGCCAUCAUUUUAUAUGCAAUUUUCUGAAGAAGGGUCUCGACCUGAAAGGUCACCUGUACCUUUUCUCCAGGGUUUAUAGGUGUUCACUUAGAGAUGUUUUGUUUUGUGGAAAAUACAGGUGAUGUAUUUAUGAAUAACAAGUGCAGUUAUCCACCUGAAUGCUGCAUAGUAAUUACCUAAUUGCUGUCUGCUGCGACACAAAUGAGCAUAUAAGGACUUUGAUGUUGAUGAAUAACGUAACUUAAAAAGACAAGAGUUUUUUUUUUUUAACCUAUGUGACAGCAUUUAAUAAGAUUUUUCUUUCUGAUUGACUUUGGAAAUCAUCAGUAGAAGAAAUCUGAUUAUUUAUAUAGAAGUUAAGCGUCAGUCACAUUUUUUUUUCUCGUAUUUAUUAUCAACAUAUCAAUUUGAGACAGGGAAGAUGAAACAAGCAACUCUAUGGGCAGCACGGUGGCUCAGUGGUAGAGUUACUGCCUUACAGCACUUACAGCAGCAGAGACCCAGAUUCGAUCCUAACUAUGGGAGUUGUCUGUAUGGAGUUUGUACGUUCUCCCCGUGACCUGCGUGGGUUUUCUCUGAGAUCUUCGGUUUCCUCCCACACUCCAAAGACGUACACUUUUGUAGGUUAAUUGGCUUGAUAACAUUUGUCCCUAGUUUGUGUAGGACGGUGUUAAUGUGCUGGGAACUCAGGUCGGCGUGGACUCGGUGGGCCGAAGGGCCUGUUUCCAUGCUGUAUCUCAAAACUAAACUAAACUAUUGCUGAACUGAUGAGCACUUGAAGAGUUUGUUUAAUGUUUAUGAGGCAUAAAAUCUUUUGCAAUGUUUACUGCUAAAGAAGCUUUCUAUGAUGAGCCGAGUCAUGCUCGAGGAGCCUGAAAUCACUGUCUGUUAUCAUUAAUACAUUAUCUAAUCGAGGUUAAUUCAAAAGGGGGACACCAAAAGCUGGAGUAACUCAGCAGGACAGGCAGCAUCUCUGGAGAUAAGGAAUGGGUAGCAUUUCAGGUCGAAACCCUUCUUCUAAAAACCCAUCUGAAGAAAGGUGUCACCCAUUCCUUCUCUCCAGAGAUGCUGCCCGUCCCGCUGAGUUACUCCCGAUUUUUGUCUCUAUCUUCGGUUUAAACCAGCAUCUG